UGGCCCCAAGUUGGGUUUCCUGCGCGUUCCGCUCCGUACCGUGACGGUUUUUGGCCCAAGUGUCCGACCUUUUUUUUUUGUUGGUCUAUGUAAACUUUAAGGAUCAAGAAGAAGAACUUUGCGGAAGAACUGGGCAGUUCUGGGAAAAGAUCUCGGAGUGUUUCGGGUUCGGGUGUAAACGGUGUCGCGAAGGACACGAAAAAGAAGAACCUCUGAAACUUUCAAGGAUCGUGGGUUUUUCCUGCUCGGCGAAACGGACGGAAAGUGGUGUUCUCCACUUUGACGUGAUUUGUUUAAGGAUCGUUCAUUUCCCUACCGUCGUCGGUGGGAGGCUGUGGUUACAACACCAAAGAAGCGCCACUGAGGAAAAUUCUGUGCGUUGCACGGCGAAGACGACGUCAACACUCGUAGAUCCGAUUAGCAGGGUCCUGGUAGCAGCAAUAUGUGUGCCACGGUCAGCCCAGCAGAGGCUGGUUCGGUCCCACGGUGGUCUUGGCCACGGCAAGGUUCCACGGUGAAGAAGGCGCCACCUUGCGAAUACUAGGAAGAGGGAAAACAGGAAGACGAAGAAACGCGGACGCACACACACACCCACAGAGCAAUCUUGUUUUCCGAGCAUCAAAAGUGUAGCUUUAAAGCAGCCCUAGAAGGGGAUAAGAAGCGGAAUAAAGGCUAGAGGAGGGAGCCUUUCAGUGUUUGUGAUACGCGUUUGCUCUAGCGGAAGAAGCGCGCCGAAGAAAAUCGUGAAAAACAACAUUGUGCGGCUUCUCGACUUCCACUCAUCUCUGUGAGUGUGGGCACGAGUGUGUGUGUGUUUGUGUGAAUUAGUGUGUCAGCUGUAGUGGUGGCGAGAAAGUGUGCUAGAGGUUAGCCAGCGCGCCAAGAGAAUAUCAUAAAAUCAAUAAAACAAUCAUAAAAGUGAGGCUACACAUGGCGGUGUAGGUGGCGCUCCAAGGAACACUAGAAGGAUUUCAUGUUUUUUCGCCGUUCUCGCCGAGGUGACCGCAGAGCCCGACUACGACACAGCUCAGCCCAGCAACAUUAGGGCCCUUAAGCAGACUAGAGAGGGUGGCUUUUGUUUUGAUUGGCCACCUCCCCCCACUGCCCCCCCAAAAUGAGGUGAUUUGGUGGAGAAAGGCAAAAACAAAUACGCACACACAGUCAGAAAUACCCACACAUCCCCAUUAACCUAUUGGGGCAAGUAAUGGCCCGAGGGUGGUAGAAUCGUGACGCCCUCCACCGGAAGUCAAUCAUACACUGCCGGGAGGAAACAAGGACUAACGCAAUCACUCAAUAAAAAAAAAAACAACAGCAACAAUAACGAGUUCGAUUAAGUUAGUCAUCGCCUUCGAGGAGGGAUCCCAACCCCCCCAGUUCGAACGUUUCACAAUCGAAUUAAAACACGGCUUGCCUGCUGCAAGGAAUCGCGCUCUAAACCCCCGCUAAACGUUCAGGAUGUAGACGAAUCGAACGGCGGUUGAAGCGCUCAAGUGGCCCCCACAGCUUGCAGCUCACAAGAGGGGACCAGAUAGUCGACCAGCCCAGCCCAGUCCCGCGUGGUGUGUUUUGUAAUAAAAUCAAACGUUAAUUGCACACUAAUUAGGUUUGCCGGAGGCAGUGUUACCACAUGCUCGUCUGUAUCAGAGGGUCCAAAAAUCUGUCUUAUCUGCACCAAGCAUGGCGAAUAUCUGUACCAUUAUCUGUACGGUAUAUUUUUUGUAAAUAACAUUUUUUAUUAUGCAUUUUGAACAAUCUUAUGACAACAUUAUGCAGCUCGGAAGGAACGCAAAACUGCAUAUAAAAAACACACAAGAAACGACCAAGGAAAGACGUUUCUUCGCGUGACGUUCCUUCGCGCGAUGUUUGUUUGCAAAAGUUCUAGUGAAAAAACUUAAAUAUUCAGAAUUUGUUUAUUUUAUUGCAACUGAAAGUCAUAAAUGUAUCAAUAAUUUUGUAA